rnacentral:rRNA from 1 species
CGGGGUGCAGCAGGCGCGAAAACUUUACAAUGCCGGCAACGGCGAUAAGGGAACCUCGAGUGCCAGGUUACAAAUCUGGCUGUCGUGAUGCCUAAAAAGCAUUGCAUAGCAAGGGCCGGGCAAGACCGGUGCCAGCCGCCGCGGUAACACCGGCGGCUCGAGUGGUAACCGUUAUUAUUGGGUCUAAAGGGUCUGUAGCCGGCCGGGUAAGUCUCUUGGGAAAUCUGGCAGCUUAACUGUCAGGCUUUCAGGAGAUACUGCCUGGCUCGAGGCCGGGAGAGGUGAGAGGUACUUCAGGGGUAGGGGUGAAAUCUUGUAAUCCUUGAAGGACCACCAGUGGCGAAGGCGUCUCACCAGAACGGACCUGACGGCAAGGGACGAAAGCUAGGGGCACGAACCGGAUUAGAUACCCGGGUAGUCCUAGCCGUAAACGAUACUCGCUAGGUGUCGGCCACGGUGCGACCGUGGUCGGUGCCGUAGGGAAGCCGUGAAGCGAGCCACCUGGGAAGUACGGCCGCAAGGCUGAAACUUAAAGGAAUUGG